UGAGAACCACAACUUUAGCAAAACUACACCACACACAUGAGGUUCCAGAGCAGCGGCAGGACAAUGGCCACCUCCAAUCCACCAGACUUCCUGAAAGAGCUGACUUGUUCUAGCUGCUUAUGCUCUUCGAACCAUUUGCAACUGAACGUGGACACAGGUCUUUCUAUGAGUGUCUCUUAAGAAUCUGAAAGGAAAGCCCCCAUUGCACCUGCCUCAAGGUCAAGGAUAUGUACAAGAAUGAGGUCCAAGAAAUCCUGACAAGAGAGGAUGUCCCUUGGAAGAGAGAAAUGAGCAGGUUUGCCACCUGAGGAUGGGAGUGGAAGACCGGGGAGCAGCUGAACAGAUAAAGGCCCUUCAGUUACCGCUCUUCUCUUCGGCUUUUUCCCUGAAG